CGAACGGUAACAGGAAGCAGCUUGCUGCUUCGCUGACGAGUGGCGGACGGGUGAGUAAUGUCUGGGAAGCUGCCUGAUGGAGGGGGAUAACUACUGGAAACGGUAGCUAAUACCGCAUAAUGUCGCAAGACCAAAGAGGGGGACCUUCGGGCCUCUUGCCAUCGGAUGUGCCCAGAUGGGAUUAGCUUGUUGGUGGGGUAACGGCUCACCAAGGCGACGAUCCCUAGCUGGUCUGAGAGGAUGACCAGCCACACUGGAACUGAGACACGGUCCAGACUCCUACGGGAGGCAGCAGAAGGG
rnacentral:rRNA from 1 species